UGGGGAAUAUUGCGCAAUGGACGAAAGUCUGACGCAGCAACGCCGCGUGAGUGAUGAAGGCCUUCGGGUUGUAAAGCUCUUUCGGCUGGGAAGAAGGGUGAACAAGCUAAUAAUUUGUUCAUUUGAUGGUACCAGAGUAAGAAGCACCGGCUAACUUCGUGCCAGCAGCCGCGGUAAUACGAAGGGUGCAAGCGUUGUUCGGAAUUAUUGGGCGUAAAGGGUUCGUAGGCGGAACCGUAAGUCAAGUGUGAAAUCCCCGAGCUUAACUUGGGACGUGCACUUGAAACUGCGAUUCUUGAGUAUUGGAGAGGGUAAUGGAAUUGUUGGUGUAGGAGUGACAUCCGUAGAGAUCAACAGGAACACCAGAGGCGAAGGCGAUUACCUGGCCGAAGACUGACGCUGAGGAACGAAAGUGCGGGGAGCAAACAGG
rnacentral:rRNA from 1 species